rnacentral:rRNA from 1 species
GACGAACGCUGGCGGCGUGCUUAACACAUGCAAGUCGAACGGAAAGGCCCUGCUUUUGUGGGGUGCUCGAGUGGCGAACGGGUGAGUAACACGUGAGUAACCUGCCCUUGACUUUGGGAUAACUUCAGGAAACUGGGGCUAAUACCGGAUAGGAGCUCCUGCUGCAUGGUGGGGGUUGGAAAGUUUCGGCGGUUGGGGAUGGACUCGCGGCUUAUCAGCUUGUUGGUGGGGUAGUGGCUUACCAAGGCUUUGACGGGUAGCCGGCCUGAGAGGGUGACCGGCCCCAUUGGGACUGAGAUACGGCCCAGACUACUACGGGAGGCAGCAGUGGGGAAUAUUGCACAAUGGGCGGAAGCCUGAUGCAGCAACGCCGCGUGCGGGAUGACGGCCUUCGGGUUGUAAACCGCUUUCGCCUGUGACGAAGCGUGAGUGACGGUAAUGGGUAAAGAAGCACCGGCUAACUACGUG